UACGUAGGCAGCAAGCGUUGUUCGGAGUUACUGGGCGUAAAGGGCUCGUAGGCGGUUUGUCGCGUCGGGAGUGAAAUCCACUGGCUUAACUGGUGGCUUGCUUUCGAUACGGGCAGACUGGAGGCAUGCAGGGGAGAACGGAAUUCCUGGUGUAGCGGUGAAAUGACGCAGAUAUCAGGAGGAACACCGGUGGCGAAGGCGGCUCUCUGGACCACAACUGACGCUGAGGCGCGAAAGCUAGGGGAGCAAACAGG
rnacentral:rRNA from 1 species